AGCACCAACACUGUUCAAAGAUUAGCACCAAGCAACCCUUAAUUUUUUUUUUUCCUACCAGCUUUCUUACUCUUAACUCUGUCCAUUUGUGGUCAGACUGUUUGGGCUCACCCAGGUCUCAGAGCUGACCUUGUCAACAUGUGUCCUCCAGCUGCUGAGGCCCUGCACUGAGAAGAACCUCGCUUGGUCACUGAUGACUGAGUGGAAUACCACGGCAGCAGGGUUUCAGUUUAGGACUAAAGCCAGUGUGUCCGCGGGUGCUGGAACCUGAGAUGUCCCCUCUCUCCGGUCUGCAAAUGCAUUCUGUCAUUGAUUUGUUUUAUUGAUGUUUGUCUUGUGUUACAGUCUGACAGAAAAUUUGGAAAUGCUCACGGCUUCAAAAUAUUUUGUUGUAGCCUGCACAACUUUAUUUGGUUAAGGAAAAGUGUUUUUUUUUCUUCUUAAUCUUUCUUUCUUUUCUUUCUCAUUACAAAUCUUCAACAGCUUUGUUGUAUAGAUGAAAUAUACUGUCUUCACACGAGAAAUACGUGUAACCAUAUUUAUAACAGAAUAGGGUAGAAGAUAACAAAUAACAGCAAAGGAGUUGCAUUUUUCUAUUUAUUGAGCGGUACCAGAUCACAGAUUUUUUUUAACAGUAGCUACUUUGAUGAAAAAAUAAAUUGUUUUCACUUGUUUUUUAUUCUAUUGAAUCACACUGUAACUACAUUUUCUUCCUGGCUGCUAUUAUAAUGAGAAAGAUGUGUUUAAAAAAAAAAGAAGUGAAUUUCUGUGUCGUAUUACUAUUGGCUUAAGGCUGCUAUACUGUCGAUUUAACUUUUAAUUAACAGCUGAAACUGCCAGAGAUUUACAGUAUAGUACUUUAGAGCUGGAAACCAAAGUUAACAUGCAUUAAUCUUUAAUUUAAAACAUAACAAAACAAAAAAAAAGUAGCUUAAGGAGGAUACACGUCGCUUCACUUCACUGAGUCUAUUCAGUGAGGUUUUCUGAUCUCUCUGUGGGGGGUUUGUCUAGUCUACCUGUACUAUAUCACCUUAACUUUUGUCAGCUUUGUGCUCCAAUGAUAACAACAGCAAUAUACUGUAAUUUUUAUAUUUUCUGUGCAUAAUAUCUGAAUGUAGAUGCCAUGGUUGCUACUGUUUAAUGUCUAUAAUCACAAACCUGUAGCACUUAAAAAGGUGAAUUGUGUUUCUGUUGUUUACUGCUAUAUCCACAAUAAGCUAGUGGGAUCAUAUUGUUCCUAAUAAACCAGAUUUCUCAAGCAGCUGCA